AGAUCCGUAUUUAAGGAGGCAGAGGACUUCUCUCCAGUGCCAGAGUGUUUGCCAGUAACGAUUGAAUCUGCCAGUAACCUGAAACUCUGAAGAGUUUCUCUGCCGGUGAUCUGCCUGUCCAUUCUCAGAAGAACUCUGGAGAACAAUUCCUGUCUAAGAUCUGCCUGCCUGCUGUCAGAAGAUACUGGAAGGAAACUCAAAUCUGUGAUCUGCCUGCACUCAAAUCAAGCUCUGCCUCCGCCUAGCCCUCAGCCUGCCGACUGGAACAGUAAACCCACUAGUGACCAGUCCUGGAUCUGAUUUAUCUGUGUGCUUUUCAGAACCCACUCGUGACCAGACGAGUUCCCCUCUGGAUCAGUUCAUUUAUUGUGUUCAAUCUUCUCAAUAAACCUUUGAACUUUUCU